AUUGAACGCUGGCGGCAAGCCUAACACAUGCAAGUCGGACGAGUGGCAGACGGGUGAGUAAUGUCUGGGAAACUGCCUGAUGGAGGGGGGUAACUACUGGAAACGGUAGCUAAUACCGCAUACCAUCGGAUGUGCCCAGAUGGGAUUAGCUAGUAGGUGGGGUAAAGGCUCACCUAGGCGACGAUCCCUAGCUGGUCUGAGAGGAUGACCAGCCACACUGGAACUGAGACACGGGCCAGACUCCUACGGACGGCAGCAGUGGGGAAUAUUGCACAAUGGGCGAAAGCCUGAUGCAGCCAGGCGGUGUGUAUGAAGAAGGCCUUCGGGUUGUAAAGUACUUUCAGCGGGGAGGCGUUACCCGCAGAAGAAGCACCGGCUAACUCCGGGCCAGCAGCCGCGGUAAUAC
rnacentral:rRNA from 1 species